GGCCACCUCACAUUGAAACACCAGUUCCCAUAUAAUCACUGAAGUUUCGCAAUGCAGAAUCAGGUUAGUACCUAGAUGGGUGACUAUUUGGGAAUACCAGGUGCUGUAA